UGUGAGCCGGGCGAGGCUGUGGGCCUGCUGGCUGCCCAGAGCAUCGGAGAGCCCUCCACCCAGAUGACCCUCAACACCUUCCACUUUGCAGGCAGAGGCGAGAUGAACGUCACCCUGGGCAUUCCAAGGCCUGGUAGGAUCUCCAUUUAUUCCUCUGCCAACUCCUGCAUCCAAGUUCCUGGGGAUGCCCGUGAGACUGCACACUGCUGGGGGAAGGACUCAGGAACGUACAUUGUUAACAAGCCCCACACAAGGUGCCUGGUUGCCCAACUCCAGGGGAACCAUUCACAUAGAACGUGGCCCCACGUGGCCCUGGGCCCUGGCCCUUCAGGUUGCGGGAGAUUCUCAUGGUGGCCAGCGCCAACAUCAAGACACCCAUGAUGCGCGUGCCCGUGCUCAACACCAAGAAAGCCCUGAAGAGAGUGAAAAGCCUGAAGAAGCAACUCACCAGGGUGUGCUUGGGGGAGGU
rnacentral:sRNA from 1 species